GACGAACGCUGGCGGCGUGCUUAACACAUGCAAGUCGAACGGAAAGGCCCUGCUUUUGUGGGGUGCUCGGGUGGCGAACGGAUGGGUAACACGAGAGUAACGUACCCUUCACUCUGGGAUAACUUCAGCAAACUAGGGCUAAUACCGUAUAGGAGCUCCUGCUGCUUUGGCGGGGUUGGUAAGUGUCAGCGGUUGGGUAUGGAGUCGCUGCGUAUCAGGUUGUUGGUGGGGUUGUGGCUUACCAAGGCUUUGACGGGUAGCCGGCCUGAGCGGGUGAGCGGCCAGAUUGGGACUGAGAUAGGGCGCAGACGCCUAGGGGAGGGAGCAGUGGGGGAUAUUGUGAUACGGGCGGAAGCCUGAUGCAGCAGCGCCGCGCGCGGGGUGAACGCCUUCGGGUUGUAAACCGCUUCCGCCUGUGAUGUAGCGGGAGUGACGGUAAUGGGUAAAGAAGCACCGGCUAACUACGUG
rnacentral:rRNA from 1 species